rnacentral:rRNA from 1 species
UGUUAACCNCUUUNAAUAGGGANAAGCUCUUCUUUGGGGGUGNCGUUNNUUGCAAAAGAAGCGCCGGCUAAUUCCGUCCCAGCAGCUGCNUUAUUCGUAGGGCGCAAGUGUUAUCGGAAUUAUUGGGCGUAAAGAGCUGGUAGGCGUUUUGUCGCGUCUGCUGUGAAAGACCGGGGCUCACCUCUGUUUCUGCAGUGGGUACGGGCAGAAUAGAGUGCAGUAGGGGAGUCUGGAAUUCCUGGUGUAGCGGUGAAAUGCGCAGAUAUCAGGAGGACCACCGAUGGCGAAGGCAGGUCUGUGGGUUGUAACUGACGUUGAGGAGCGAAAGCAUGGGGAGCGACCAGGAUUAGAUACCUUGGUAGUCCAUGCCGUAAACGUUGGCCAUUAGGUGUGGGGGACAUUCCACGUUUUCCGCGCGGUAGCUACCGCAUUAAGUGCCCCGCUUGGGGAGUCCGCCCGCAAGGUUAAACCUAAAAGGAAUUGACGGGGGCCCGCCCAAGCGGCGGACCAUGCGGAUUAAUUCGAUGCAACGCGAAGACCCUUCCCAAGGCUUGCCAUGGCCCGGAAAGCCCUGGAAACAGGUGCCCCGCUUGCGGCCGGUUUACAGGUGGUGCAUGGUUGUCGUCAGCUCGUGUCGUGAGAUGUUGGGUUAAGUCCCCCAACGAGCGCACCCCUCGUUCUAUGUUGCCAGCGGUUCGGCCGGGGACUCAUAGGAGACUUCCGGGGUCAACUCGGAGGAAGGUGGGGACGACGUCAAAUCAUCAUGCCCCUUAUGUCUUGGGCUUCACGCAUGCUACAAUGGCCGGUCCAAAGGGUUGCGAUACUGUGAGGUGGAGCUAAUCCCAAAAAGCCGGUUUCAGUUCGGAUUGGGGUUUGCACCUCGCCCCCAUGAAGUCGGAGUCGUUAGUAAUCGCAGAUCAGCAACGCUGCGGUGAAUCCGUUCCCGGGCCUUGUACACUCCGCCCGUCAAGU